rnacentral:SRP_RNA from 1 species
AGCCGGGGAGCUAGCGGUGCCUUGUACCUGUAAUCCGCUAUAACAGGGGUGAUAUUACGCAGAGGGUGCUGAUUUGCAGAGUCUGCCCCCGGUAAGUGAUGUUGAAAACUUGGGUCUCACGCGACGGGAAUCUGUGAACCGUGUCAGGUCGGGAACGAAGCAGCACUAAGGAGAACCUUCCGGGUGUUGUGAGGCAGCCUGGGUUGAGUUAACUGCCGGGGUAACGUUUGUGG